GCGGAAGCCGGGCCGGCGACGCUUUCCCACAGCACCCCAGCGGCCCAGCCUACCCCGCGGCCCCAGCUGUCUCGCGGGGGAGUCCAGGCCCGGCCGGCCGCUUCGGAGUCCCUGUCUGAGCCCUCCUCCCAGCGAGGUCCAUCUCUGACAGUUUUCAGCGGCUUGUGCUUCUUUUUUUUAAAAAAAUGUUAUUAAUACAUGUUUUAGUAAUGUUUAUAAUGUUCACGUUCCUCUGUGGAGUUGGGAUGGCAGCCACCCCCCCUGGAGUGGAAUCAACUUGGAGUACGUCUCAAGGGCAUAGAAAUCAAGUAGGAAGUAUAGGGAUACCAUUCUUUCUCUUGGAUUUCUUCUGGGGAACUCAGUGUCAAAUAUGCAUGGUGUGCCUACCCCCUAGAGCCAAAGUAGAAUACAGAGGGAAGUAUUGAUUGUGAUGCUAUUUCACAACUAGACUCAUACUGCAAGAAAGAGAAAAUGGUCAAAAUUGCCUUAUGUUCAGACUUUCUUUGCACUGAGAAUUAAUCCUUGCUUGUGUGCAAAAUGUAAACGUAAGCCACAAGAAAACCAGAUACGUAGCCUUUAAGGCAUUCAGUACCACUGAGCCUGAGGCCAUUCUUCU
rnacentral:lncRNA from 1 species